rnacentral:lncRNA from 1 species
GCCUCGUUUUGGAUGUUGCAACAACUGGGUUUUCCUCUCUGGCUCUGUUAUAUAGACACUGGACUGCACGGGAGAAACAGAUUUUUUUCUACCUUGUAAAUGGGAGGGAGCCAGAGCAGAGAGAGUGAGUCUUAUAUCUCAUUCCAAAUAAUACUUAAAAGAGAAAUACCUCAUCUGGAUGAAAAUAGCUAUUGAAGUGAAAACUGCUUUGAAAGGCAAAACUCCUGAGGUCAGAUCUGUCUCUCUGACUGAAGGGAAGGAAAUGAACGGAACCCCUUGAAGCAAAGUUGUGUAUUUCCAUUCAGAAGAGGAACAUUCUACCUCUCUCUUGUGGUGAGUGACAUCCCAUCAGCUGGAAAG